UUUUGAGACUUGGUGGUGGUGG
rnacentral:snRNA from 1 species